CAGCAGCCGCGGUAAUACGGAGGAUGCGAGCGUUAUCCGGAUUUAUUGGGUUUAAAGGGUGCGUAGGCGGCCUGUUAAGUCAGCGGUGAAAUCUAGGAGCUUAACUCCUAAAUUGCCAUUGAAACUGGCGGGCUUGAGUGUAGAUGAGGUAGGCGGAGUGCGUGGUGUAGCGGUGGAAUGCAUAGAUAUCACGCAGAACUCCAAUUGCGAAGGCAGCUUACUAAGGUACGACUGACGCUGUAGCACGAAAGCGUGGGUAUCAAACAGGAUUAGAUACCCCAGUAGUCCCUGUCUCUUAUAA
rnacentral:rRNA from 1 species